CCCCUCCUGGGCCGAGGGGUCGGCUCAGCCACACCAUGUCUGUAACUCUGCGUGCACCGUCUGGGUCUCUGGCCAGCAGACCUUUCCAAUGCAGGCUUGUCUUUGAGCCUGUUUACAAAGCCUGAAGUUACUUCUGUUUUGUUUUAGCCAGAAGGGUGAAGUGCUGCCAGCACAAAUUCUUCAUUCAUAAGACUGUAAACAAGUCCUGGAUAAAUGAGAAAUACUGAAGCACAGGAGUCCAGAUUUCAGAGUAAACGCUUCCAUCGCCUUGUAAUUUCUUCAGUGUAAACCUCGGUGCAGGUUACUUAUUAC